AGUGAACGCUGGCGGUAGGCCUAACACGUGCAAGUCGAACGGCAGCACAGUAAGAGCUUGCUCUUACGGGUGGCGAGUGGCGGACGGGUGAGGAAUACAUCGGAAUCUACUUUUUCGUGGGGGAUAACGUAGGGAAACUUACGCUAAUACCGCAUACGACCUACGGGUGAAAGCAGGGGAUCUUCGGACCUUGCGCGAUUGAAUGAGCCGAUGUCGGAUUAGCUAGUUGGCGGGGUAAAGGCCCACCAAGGCGACGAUCCGUAGCUGGUCUGAGAGGAUGAUCAGCCACACUGGAACUGAGACACGGUCCAGACUCCUACGGGAGGCAGCAGUGGGGAAUAUUGGACAAUGGGCUCAAGCCUGAUCCAGCCAUACCGCGUGGGUGAAGAAGGCCUUCGGGUUGUAAAGCCCUUUUGUUGGGAAAGAAAAGCAGCAGGUUAAUACCCCGCUGUUCUGACGGUACCCAAAGAAUAAGCACCGGCUAACUUCGUG
rnacentral:rRNA from 1 species